UCUUAUCCAUUCACGAACAGCUUGUAAUACCCCAAGAGAAAGGAAAACUUGAAAUCAUAUAAUAUGAUCACUUUAAAACAGCUUUAGAUUGGAAAGUUUUGCUGAACCUGGCAACCCCUGAUCAAUGCGAUCACACAGUCAGCUGUCCAACACUUGAUCUUUCAUGGAUCGCUGGAAAGGCAGGGUUGAUCUUGUCACUGGAGCUUCAGUGGGAAUCGGAGCAGCAAUCGCAAAGUCUCUUGUCCAGGAUGGCUUGAAGGUGGACGGCUGUGCCAGAAAUGUGGAAUAAAAUUGAGAAACGGUCUUCUGGAUGUGUUAGUAUUGGAUUCAGCGGCCCUCAUCCCAUAUAAAUGUGAUCUCUCUGUAGAGAAUGAUGUGUUAUCCAUGUUCUCCUGGAUCAAAGUUCAACAUCAGGUCAUUGACGUGUGCAUUAACAUUGCUGGUUUGUUGAGCGGCAAAACCAGUGGCUGAAAAACUAUGACGGACACUAACACUCCCAUCGACCAUCGACUCUUUUUUGAAUCACUGUGUGAAGCUUCGACACUUUUGGAAAUCAUUUGCUUCGAACCAAUGGUUCGGAGCGCGGAUCAAACUGUCAAAAUCACAUGAUUUCAGUAAGGAGUGCUCUGAAAUGUUUCAAAAGUUCAGUGAUUUGCCGUUGGGGGGCGAUCUGUGCCAGAGAUCUGUGAACCCAUGGAUGAGAUCGCCCCCUAGCGGUUUUAGACGACCCAUCCAUAAAAGAAAACAAACCCCGCAUAUGAAGAACACUCUUAUUUAAUGGUAUUUGAUGAUUUGUUAUUUGAAUUAUAAUACUUAUAAAAAAUAAUUUGCAAUGGCUUGGAAAAAGCUGUUUUAUGCAUGUUUUGACUAGCGCCUCGAAAAAAAUUAAUCGUUUUUUAUUUUCUUUUUUUUUUCUUUUUUUUUUGCCAAUUGCAUAUAUAUCCACAUUUCAGUAUGUGUACUGAUAAAUGUGUGGAAAAAUAACAUUAACUUUACUAUGUUUACUCCAAUGCUCCAUAAUUUCUUAUUCACAGUUCACUCGUUGGUUUUGAAAGAAGUGAAUCUUGAGUCACUGCUCGGACUAAACCAAUUUAUGUAAUAAAGAGAUUUACUUUUUGUUAAGGUGAAUGUCAUUGGCCUGUCAGUGUGCACUCGUGAGGCUCACCAGUCCAUAAAAGAAAGAAAUAUUGAUGAUGGUCACAUCAUUAACAUUAACAGGUACAGGAAUCUUUUAUUAGAAUUUUGUUUUAUUUAUUAAUAUUUUUUGCCUGUUUCCAAAUUCCUAACAAAACAUUUCAUAUAUUUGUGUGUUUUAUCAUGAGUGGACACCGAGCCAUCAACACUGCUGAUCCACACUUCUACACUGCCAGAUAAAACCCACAUACGUCUGAUCAUAAAGUUUUUUACACUUUUAUAAUUACUAUAAUGACUAUUAUAGUAUAUGAUGUAAAGAAAAAAUAAUAAAACACCAAUGGUACUUUGCAUUCAGUAUUGAGGCAGAAUUAGAGUAGUUUAUUUUGCUUGGCAUCAUAAUGAAUGAACAUUUACAGAUAAAAUAAAUAUUUUGUGGAAUGUUAAGGAAAUUUGAUACUGCUUUAUUGGUUUCUCUUCAGUGGGUGCCAGCAGUUUUCAACUGAAUGUUUUAAAUGAGAUAUUAAGUAAUAAAAGUAGGAAAUUAUGCUGUGCUUAUCUUCUUGUGGUGUUUGUGAUGAAACUAUCAAACAGCAAUUUUUCAAGUCAAGGAGAAGCAAAAAUGAAACAUGGCUGAGGAUUUAAGGUAGGCCUAUGUUACAGACACCAAAUAAAUGAAUUUGAAACUGUGA